GAAUAUUAGUCAAUGCUCGAAAGAGUGAACUAGCUAACUGAAAUCAAUUAAAAUAAUUGAUAACAUAAGGGAAAAUAAUGAUAUUACCUUAUUAUUAGUGUCGUCCAAAACUGGUGCCAGAAGACUCGGUAAGGCCAGAGACACAAACGUUAAUCGUCUUAAUCAGGCGUAAAGGGUUUGUAGGCGGCUUUAAAAUUUAAGUUAAAAAAAAUUUUUUUUAGGUAAAGAAUAAAAGCUAGAAUCAAAUAGAGGAUAUAUGAAAGAAUGCUUAGAGUAGGUCUGAUAUCCUUAGAUACUAAGUAGAAUAUUAAAGGCGAAAGCUUUUUUCCAUUAAUGAUUGACGCUCAGAAACGAAGGUGAGGAUAGGAAAUAGGAUUAGAUACCCAGAAUACCCCUCUCUGUCAACGAUGAAUGGUAGUUAUUAGUAAAAUUAUUAAUGGCAAUGUUAACACGAUAACCAUUCCGCCUUGUGAGUACAACUGCAAAGUUGAAAACAAAAAAAUUAGUCGGUUUCGGAGCAAACGAAGUGAAGCAUGUUAUUUAAUUC
rnacentral:rRNA from 1 species